rnacentral:rRNA from 1 species
UGCGUAGGCGGUUAUAUAAGACAGAUGUGAAAUCCCCGGGCUCAACCUGGGAACUGCAUUUGUGACUGUAUAGCUAGAGUACGGUAGAGGGGGAUGGAAUUCCGCGUGUAGCAGUGAAAUGCGUAGAUAUGCGGAGGAACACCGAUGGCGAAGGCAAUCCCCUGGACCUGUACUGACGCUCAUGCACGAAAGCGUGGGGAGCAAACA